rnacentral:rRNA from 1 species
GAUGAACGCUGGCGGCGUGCCUAAUACAUGCAAGUCGAGCGAACGGACGAGAAGCUUGCUUCUCUGAUGUUAGCGGCGGACGGGUGAGUAACACGUGGAUAACCUACCUAUAAGACUGGGAUAACUUCGGGAAACCGGAGCUAAUACCGGAUAAUAUUUUGAACCGCAUGGUUCAAAAGUGAAAGACGGCCUUGCUGUAACUUCUAGAUGGAUCCGCGCUGCAUUAGCUAGUUGGUAGGGUACCGGCUUACCAAGGCAACGGUGCAUAGCCGACCUGAGAGGGGGAUGCGCCACACUGAAGGUGAGACACGGUCCAGGCACCGACGUGAGGCAGCAGUAGCGAAGCGAGCGAAAUGGGCGAAAGCCUGACGGAGCAGCGCAAGGUUGAUGAAGAAGCGCUGCGGAUCGUAAAACGCUGUUAUGGGGGAAGAACAUAUGUGUAAGUAACGAUGCACAUCUUGACGGAACCGAUACAGAAAGCCCCGCCAAAUUACGG